rnacentral:rRNA from 1 species
AUGAGGGCGAGCACGUCGGCGCAGGACACAGUGUUAGGACAUGCGGACUGGAGCCUGUCCUUGACGCGCUGCACGGCGCCGAAGCCGCGGAGGCUCUUGUUGGGCGGCGCGUCCUUCUCUGCCGGGUUACUGGCGGCGUCGGUGGAGUCGAUCAGCACGGAAGCGUCGCAUCCCCGGACGAAGCAGUCGUGGAAGUGGAGGCGGAGGAAGGGUCCGGCGAGCGUGGGCGCCUCCUUGAGGAUCCCGAGCAUCUCCUGCCUGACGAUCUCCUCCACGUGCGGGCACGUCUUGCUGUAG